CUCUCUCUCUCUCUUAUACAUAUCACUUUGUCUCAGCGGCUCAGAACCAGAUCGGAACCGGCGGCUUCAGCUUCUUCAUCGCUCAGUAGCUCUUGCUCUCUCUUUCUCUCUGCGCGCGCGGCUGCUCUGAAGACUGAAACCAGAUCUUUCCGAACCAAAAGAAAACCCCCAAAGCCUUCUCUCUCAGCCUCUCUCACAUCUAGCCCUAAAUCGCUCUUCGUUGGGUGGAGAAAUAGAAGAGGUUGUAUAAGCUAGAGAGUUGUUGGAAAUGACUGCUGAAGCUUUGCAAGUUGCUAAGGCAUACCGCCACCUUCUCAAAGCUGUCAAGAACCACGUUGCCAAAGAAGACACUAAGCGGCAUUUCAGAGAUUAUGUAACUGAAGAAUUUAGAUUCACAUGAAAAACCCAGUCCAGACUAUCUGCUGCAACAAUAGAGUCUCUCAAGUUGUUUUGGAUAUGACUAUCUGACUAUCAUGAGGCUGGGUCAGAUCUGGCACUUACAAGCGAGGUAUUUGAGCAAUUAUGGUUCCAGGGUAGUGGUAAACAAUUCUGGUGUGGAAGAAAACAAGGAAAAGACAGUGGUUAUCUAAAGCUUGACUUGUACGAGAAUUCUGUUAUCUAAAGUUGGGUUACUGCAUAUUUACCUUGCUAGCAAUCUAAUUUCAUGGUAUAAUUUCUUCAUUUUGUUUCUGUUUUUACUAGCCUUUCUGUUUAUACUUUUGAAGUAUGUCAUUAGUUAUAAUAUCAGUUGUUAGGGAUUCUGCUUAGUGCUUAUUUACUUGGGGUAGAUGCCAUGGAUAAUUGUGUCAUUUGUUUAUUUUUGGAUUUCAUAGUGGAAUGGAUGCUAAGGGUUACUACUUUUUCUUUUCAUUUACAAAUGCAUUAGAGUUAUCUGUUUUGUUCUUGUUCGUUAUUGUCUUCGCUAUUGUGAUGUGAGAUCAAUAUAUUCUAAGUUGCAGCAUAACAGAAUGUUUGCUAUAGUCUCUACCUAAUUUCAUUUUUCCUGCAGCUUUGUUGUUGGUUGGGAAUUGCAGGGAUCAGCUGUGUAUAAGUUCAAGGCCUAUUGGCAAUGACGUAAUUAGCAUUUAUUUGGGAACAAUCUUCUUGCAAGGAAAGGAGAGGGUUGGAAAUCCUGAGACAUUGAGUCUAAAGCUAGGAAGUGACAUUAUUUUAACUGAAAAGGUUCAACCCUGCGGUGGUAUUUGGAGUGACAACUGCUCUUUGAAAAUGGGAAGAAGACGCCCCUUCAUACUUGCAGGAUCUCUCAUUAUCUCUGUUGCCAUAAGUCAAUCAUUGCAAUUCUAGAGCUGCGUGCUAGGUGGGGGAACAGGAACUCAGCUAGCUUGCAUGAAUUUUGUUUUUUGGGGAAUUGCAGGUUCCGGAUGCAACUAGUGACCAUGAAAUUCGGAGGGAAUCUGUAGGAGAAGAAGGGAAUCUAGAUUCAAGCUGUGAUAGAGCAAUGGACUGAGUUUCAAUAUGUUCAUAUUCUGAUAGUGCAAUAUUGGAAUUUUUGUUAAGUGUUACUCUUGGUUGUCUUCAUUAGGUGCUUGGUUUUGGGCAUAACUUUGUA